rnacentral:rRNA from 1 species
UUGAUAGGUUAAGAGCUAAUUAACUGGACGUUACCCACAGAAGAAGCACCGGCUAACUCCGUGCCAGCAGCCGCGGUAAUACGGAGGGUGCAAGCGUUAAUCGGAAUUACUGGGCGUAAAGGGUGCGUAGGUGGUUGAUUAAGUUAUCUGUGAAAUUCCUGGGCUUAACCCUGGGACGGUCGGAUAAUACUGGUUGACUCGAGUAUGGGAGAGGGUAGUGGAAUUUCCGGUGUAGCGGUGAAAUGCGUAGAGAUCGGAAGGAACACCAGUGGCGAAGGCGGCUACCUGGCCUAAUACUGACACUGAGGCACGAAAGCGUGGGGAGCAAACAGGAUUAGAUACCCCUGGUAGUCCACGCUGUAAACGAUGUCAACUAGCUGUUGGUUAUAUGAAAAUAAUUAGUGGCGCAGCAAACGCGAUAAGUUGACAUCGU